AUCACUUCUCAGCCUUUUGGCUAAGAUCAGGUAUAGUAUCUGUUCUUAUCAGUUUAAUAUCUGAUACACCUUCUAUCCGAGGACAUUAUAUUAAAUGGAUUUUUGGAGCUGGGAGAUGGAAUAGGAGCUUGCUCCAUCCACAUCACACAUUGACUUGGUAUUUCAGUACUUCUGGGAAUGGUGCACCGAAA